rnacentral:rRNA from 1 species
AGAGUUUGAUCCUGGCUCAGAAUGAACGCUGGCGGCGUGCCUAACACAUGCAAGUCGCGCGCGAAAGGGGCAACCCGAGUAGAGCGGCGAACGGGUGAGUAACACGUGGGUAACCUGCCUUGGAGUGGGGGAUAACCUGGGGAAACUCGGGCUAAUACCGCAUACGUUCACGGAGCUCCGGCUUCGUGAGGAAAGCUGACCUCUGCUUGCAAGUUAGCGCUCCUAGAGGGACCCGCGCCGGAUUAGCUAGUUGGUGAGGUAACGGCCCACCAAGGCGACGAUCCGUAGCCGGCCUGAGAGGGCGAUCGGCCACACUGGAACUGAGACACGGUCCAGACUCCUACGGGAGGCAGCGGUGAGGAAUCUUGCGCAAUGGGCGAAAGCCUGACGCAGCAACGCCGCGUGGAGGAUGAAGGUCUUCGGAUUGUAAACUCCUGUCAGAGGGGACGAAGGCUUGUGGGCUAAUCACCGCAAGCUUGACGGUACCCUCAGAGGAAGCCACGGCUAACUCUGUGCCAGCAGCCGCGGUAAUACAGAGGUGGCAAGCGUUAUUCGGAAUUAUUGGGCGUAAAGGGCGCGUAGGCGGCUUGGCAAGUCCAGGGUGAAAUCCCUCAGCUCAACUGAGGAACUGCCCUGGAAACUGCUUGGCUCGAGGCCGGGAGAGGGUAGCGGAAUUCCCAGUGUAGCGGUGAAAUGCGUAGAUAUUGGGAGGAACACCGGUGGCGAAGGCGGCUACCUGGACCGGUUCUGACGCUGAUGCGCGAAAGCGUGGGGAGCAAACAGGAUUAGAUACCCUGGUAGUCCACGCUGUAAACGAUGGGUGCUCGGUGU